rnacentral:rRNA from 1 species
GACGAACGCUGGCGGCGUGCUUAACACAUGCAAGUCGAACGGAAAGGCCCUGCUUUUGUGGGGUGCUCGAGUGGCGAGCGGGUGAGUAACACGUGAGUAACCUGCCCUUGACUUUGGGAUAACUCCAGGAAACUGGGGCUAAUACCGGAUAGGAGCUCCUGCUGCAUGUUGGGGGUUGGAAAGUUUCGGCGGUUGGGGAUGGACUCGCGGCUUAUCAGCUUGUUGGUGGGGUAGUGGCUUACCAAGGCUUUGACGGGUAGCCGGCCUGAGAGGGUGACCGGCGACAUUGGGACUGAGAUAGGGACCAGACUCCUACGGGAGGCAGCAGUGGGGAGUCUUGCGCAACGGGGGGAAGUCUGAUGCAGCAACGCCGCGAGCGGGAUGCCGGGCUUCGGGUUAUAAACAGCUUUCGCAUGUGACGAAGCGGGCGUGACGGUAAUGGGUCAAGAAGCAACGGCUAACUACGUG